GCAAGGUGAACGCAGACUUGGCCUUCUGUGCUUCAGAGCCCAGGUGCUGGGGAGAAAAUGCUGGGGCUCUGGAAGAAGGUGAGUAGGUGCAAAGGCCAAAGUGUCCAGACGCGCCGCAAGAUUCCACACCCUUAGGCUGAACCCAAGUUGUCUGAACAGUAACGACGUCCUACAGUACUACAACUUGCGUACAGAGCGCGGAGUACACCGAGACCCUGGAGCCAGCCGAGGGUCAGGGUGAAUUCGACUCCGCCACGCUCGCUUCCAGCGGAGCCGGACUCCCAGCCUCGCCAAGCACCUCCCCUAAAUGGCCUGAUUUUUUCUGUGCAAGAGUAAUCACCGCCCACCGGUUCCCUUCUCCGACCCCCUGCGGCGCCUUUCUUCCUGUUUCCACUACUCAGUGGGGCGGGACGUCAGCGGUUAGGAUCUGACCUCUGUUUCCUCGGACUUUUCAAGCACGCGAGUGGGAAAGCAAGGAAAAGGCGGUUCACUU